rnacentral:rRNA from 1 species
AGAUUGAACGCUGGCGGCAUGCCUUACACAUGCAAGUCGAACGGCAGCACGGGAGCAAUCCUGGUGGCGAGUGGCGAACGGGUGAGUAAUAUAUCGGAACGUGCCCAGUCGGUGGGGGAUAACGUAGAGAAUUUACGCUAAUGCCGCAUACGAUCU